GUAACUCAAUGGCAUUUCCUCUCUCAGGCAAAUAUUGGAAACUGCUAAUUUUGUUUUCCACUUUCCUCGAGCGUAAGAGCCCCAGAAUUCCAGCAAGGCAUCAGUACCAAAUUUGUGCCAAAUUAUUUUGGGAUUUCAUCAGGUGUCACUGCAACUAAGGAACAGCAUUUCAUUGCCUGGAGAAAGGCAUACAGCCACCGAUGAGGAGCAAAAAGCAAACUUUACUCAAAGCAUAACAUCCCUGACAUUGCAGUCUUCCAGCAAGGCAUCACCUGCACUAUCACCUGGAGUUGAAUUUAUUCUAAUGUGCUUGAUGUUAAACAUACCUUAUGACGGUACAUUUUGUUUGUUGAUAGUGUAACAAAGCCAAAGUAGGCUUUAGGAGCAACAAUAAAAAAUAAAAGUCAA